UACAGAGGGUGCGAGCGUUAAUCGGAAUUACUGGGCGUAAAGCGUGCGUAGACGGUUAUUUAAGUCGGAUGUGAAAGCCCCGGGCUCAACCUGGGAAUUGCAUUCGAGACUGAAUAGCUAGGGUGCGGUAGAGGGAAGCGGAAUUUCCGGUGUAGCGGUGAAAUGCGUAGAUAUCGGAAGGAACAUCAGUGGCGAAAGCGGCUUCCUGGUCCAAUACUGACGUUCAUGUGCGAAAGCGUGGGGAGCAAACAGG
rnacentral:rRNA from 1 species